CUUCCUCUCAGGAGACAGUUUGCACAAAGGAAGAGGGGUUGGGCAGGGGCUGACUCAGGCAGCCCAGGCUCUGCCAAAGCCACCCCAGGACAGCGGGGCUGGCUCGCCACCUGCUGGCCACUCCUGGUGGCCGGGGACAGGCAAUCCUCAGGAACUCGGCAGAAGAGGACUCGGAUUCCUAGGCAGCCUGCAUCAAUCUGGGGAAAGCUGGAAAUGAAUUAAGAUUCAGAGAUGAUAGGAAGUUGAAGAAUCUAAGGUGAAGUUCUGCAGGAAAAGCUGGUGUGUCUGCAGGCAGGAAGUCUCUAUCACAAAUGUCCAAUGGAUGCAGAACGAGGUUCCAGAUUUUCUAGAAUAUAUAUUGCUGCGGACUGAGCUGUGUCCCCCAAAUCCAUGUGUUGAAGACCUAACCCUUAAUGCGUUGGUAACUGGAGAUGGUGCCUUCGGGAGUGAGGACACGGGGAGAAGGAAGCUGUCUACAGGCAAGGAAGAGGCCCUCACCAGAAACCAAUCACGGUGGGACCCUGAUCUCAGACAUCGAGCCUCCAGAACUGUGAGAAAAUAAAUUUCUGUUCUUUA